GAAUUUAAUAUAAAAUUUUUAAAAUUAAAUAAUAUUAAUUAAUAAUUUUAUAUUUAGUUGGGAGGAUGGUUAAAUUUUAAUAACUUUAAUUAAAAUAUAAAAUAUUAAUUAAUAAAUUAAGGAGCAUAUAUUUAAUAGGUAUAAAAAUUAAUUACCUUAGGGAUAACAGCAUAAUAUUUUUGGAAAGAUCAUAUUUAUAAAAAUGUUUGU
rnacentral:rRNA from 1 species